UACAGAGGUCUCAAGCGUUGUUCGGAUUCAUUGGGCGUAAAGGGUGCGUAGGCUGCGCGGUAAGUCGGGUGUGAAAUCUCGGGGCUUAACUCCGAAACUGCAUUCGAUACUGCCGUGCUUGAGGACUGGAGAGGAGACUGGAAUUUACGGUGUAGCGGUGAAAAUGCGUAGAUAUCAGGAAGAACACCAAUGGCGAAGGCAGCUCUCUGGGACGGUACUGACACUGAGACGCGAAAAGCGUGGGGGGAGCAAAACAGGG
rnacentral:rRNA from 1 species